ACUCCUGCGGGAGGCAGCAGUGGGGAAUAUUGCACAAUGGGCGGAAGCCUGAUGCAGCAACGCCGCGUGCGGGAUGACGGCCUUCGGGUUGUAAACCGCUUUCGCCUGUGACGAAGCGUGAGUGACGGUAAUGGGUAAAGAAGCACCGGCUAACUACGUGCCAGCAGCCGCGGUGAUACGUAGGGUGCGAGCGUUGUCCGGAUUUAUUGGGCGUAAAGGGCUCGUAGGUGGUUGAUCGCGUCGGAAGUGUAAUCUUGGGGCUUAACCCUGAGCGUGCUUUCGAUACGGGUUGACUUGAGGAAGGUAGGGGAGAAUGGAAUUCCUGGUGGAGCGGUGGAAUGCGCAGAUAUCAGGAGGAACACCAGUGGCGAAGGCGGUUCUCUGGGCCUUUCCUGACGCUGAGGAGCGAAAGCGUGGGGAGCGAACAGGCUUAGAAACCCUGGUAGUCCCAUGA
rnacentral:rRNA from 1 species